AGGGGAAUAGCUCAGUGGUAGAGCACAUGCUUAGCAUACACGAGGUCCUGGGUUCAAUCCCCAGUACCUCCA
rnacentral:tRNA from 1 species